GCCAAAGCCAGCUAGACCAGGCACAUGGGGACCUCCCCUUUCCAGGCUGGGUUCCCUUCCCUUGAGCAGGGUGGAGGGAGGGAGGUUCCAGUCAGAAGCCCCAGCGCUGACCCAGAUCCAGGCUGGAGCAGGCAGGGGAGUCUGAGUGCUGCGCAGGGACGCUUUACGACCCUGCGCCCGACUCUGGGGCUGCCUGACCUCCCCGCACCCGGCCCACACCCCAAGAUUUGUUGGUCUCGCCCCCCAUCGCUUUUCUUUCUUCCUCUUUUCCUCAGUUCACGCCCACCUUAGAGCAAACCUGAGCAGGAGUCCCACUGCUUCAGUUCCCGGAGUUAGAGCCCAGAAGGAAUCUUAGAGUCCCCGCACCGAGCAGACGCGUGCCGCAGCCAAGCAGGAUCCCCGGACCCAAGAGGACACGCGGAGCCCCCCGCGAGCUCUGGGAGUCGCAGCUCCACCGCAGACCUCCAGGGGCUCAGACCGCGGAGCUUUAGGCCUGUGGGAAGGGGAUUGCCAUCCCUCUGACUCCAGUGGCAUCUCUCCAAUCCCCUUGGAGCUGGGAGGAGCCAGGAGGCCCAUGCACACCUGCUUGCAGCUCCUCACAGCAUCCCUGGCCCCCAGCCUGGACCACAUUAAAGUCUUGGAAGUGGAGGUGAACGUCCUUACCCCUUAGAGGGCCAAGAAGAGGGGCGGAAAUGCAAACCUACACUGUAUUUGUCUAGGUUUUAAAAACAUCUCAGCUUUUUGUUUAGAUUUUGUUGUAUCUGUAAAAAUAAAGUAUGCCUAUUAAUAUAAUAGCAAGAAAAACAACUGAAGUCUGUGUGAGACAGAGCUGAAUGAUCCCCACCUAUCACUCUGCAUUGCUGCCUCCCACAGUAACCAACUUUGAUGAGUAGAUCUACCUGUGUCUUACUGUCAGCCAAGUUAAUUUGGCUUAGAUUACUGAAAUUUUAAAAUUUCACUUUGUGGAUUGAGGUACACAAGCUGUAUUAUGCAAGCUAGAUUUGUUCAUGAGACUCUCAUAUUUAGAAUUUAAUUUGAACACAGUUUGUUUUUAAUGUUCUUAUUGAUUUAAAAAUUUAAUUUAUCUUUACGCCUUCCUUAUUCAUAGAGAACUGACUACACAAGCUAUGUUUCUACAAUCUUUGAUUUUCAACAGUUUCUGAAAGCCAGGUCAAACCUUAAUGCCUAAGACCUGUCUUUAUUGUGUGAACCAAAGAAAUGUAGAAGGCUCAUGGAUCUCAGAUCUCCAGUGUAUCAGAAAGACAGAAAGUGAUAUAUCCAGAAAGUGAGCAGAGAAAUAUAUGCAAUCAUAGAAUGCAAUUUUUGUCACAUGAAACUUCAUCUAAUCAUUCUCAUUUUCUGUACUAUUAUUUUAUAUCCUCAUUUCUGCUGCUUGGGGCACUUUAUAUUUUUUAAACCUCAUAUGCAUUGCAAUGUAAGUGUUUUCCUGACUGAGAUCAGCCUUUAGCACUUUCUCACCUUUGAAGAUUUGUCAACACUGGACAGCUCCCCUGGUG
rnacentral:lncRNA from 1 species